rnacentral:rRNA from 1 species
GGGUGGUAAUGCCGGAUGCUCCGACUCCUCGCAUGGGGUGUCGGGAANGAUUUCAUCGGUAUGGGAUGGGGUCGCGUCCUAUCAGGUAGUCGGCGGGGUAACGGCCCACCGAGCCUACGACGGGUAGCCGGCCUGAGAGGGCGACCGGCCACAUUGGGACUGAGAUACGGCCCAGACUCCUACGGGAGGCAGCAGUGGGGAAUAUUGCACAAUGGGCGCAAGCCUGAUGCAGCGACGCCGCGUGCGGGAUGACGGCCUUCGGGUUGUAAACCGCUUUUGAUCGGGAGCAAGCCUUCGGGUGAGUGUACCUUUCGAAUAAGCACCGGCUAACUACGUGCCAGCAGCCGCGGUAAUACGUAGGGUGCAAGCGUUAUCCGGAAUUAUUGGGCGUAAAGGGCUCGUAGGCGGUUCGUCGCGUCCGGUGUGAAAGUCCAUCGCUUAACGGUGGAUCUGCGCCGGGUACGGGCGGGCUGGAGUGCGGUAGGGGAGACUGGAAUUCCCGGUGUAACGGUGGAAUGUGUAGAUAUCG